rnacentral:rRNA from 1 species
CCUACGAGUGGCAGCAGUGGGGAAUAUUGCGCAAUGGGCGAAAGCCUGACGCAGCGACGCCGCGUGCGGGAUGAAGGUCUUCGGAUCGUAAACCUCUGUCAGCAGGGAAGAACGGUCACUUUGCUAAUCAUCAGUGAAUUGACGGUACCUGCAAAGGAAGCACCAGCUAACUCCGUGCCAGCAGCCGCGGUAAUACGGAGGGUGCGAGCGUUAAUCGGAAUUACUGGGCGUAAAGCGCGCGUAGGCGGUAUGUCAAGUCAAGGGUGAAAUCCCCGCGCUCAACGUGGGAACUGCCUUUGAAACUGGCAAACUAGAGUGUGGGAGAGGAUAGUGGAAUUACAGGUGUAGGAGUGAAAUCCGUAGAGAUCUGGAGGAACAUCAGUGGCGAAGGCGACUAUCUGGCACAUAACUGACGCUGAGGAGCGAAAGCGUGGGUAGCAAACAGGAUUAGAUACCCCUGUAGUC